rnacentral:rRNA from 1 species
AGUGAACGCUGGCGGUAGGCCUAACACAUGCAAGUCGAACGGCAGCACAGUAAGAGCUUGCUCUUACGGGUGGCGAGUGGCGGACGGGUGAGGAAUACAUCGGAAUCUACUUUUUCGUGGGGGAUAACGUAGGGAAACUUCCGCUAAUACCUAAUAUGACCAACGGGUGAAAUCAGGGGAUCUUCGCACUUUGCGCGUUAGAUUGAGCCGAUGUCGGAUUAGCUAGUUGGCGGGGUAAAGGCCCACCAAGGCGACGAUCCGUAGCUGGUCUGAGAGGAUGAUCAGCCACACUGGAACUGAGACACGGUCCAGACUCCUACGGGAGGCAGCAGUGGGGAAUAUUGGACAAUGGGCGCAAGCCUGAUCCAGCCAUACCGCGUGGGUGAAGAAGGCCUUCGGGUUGUAAAGCCCUUUUGUUGGGAAAGAAAAGCAGCAGGUUAAUACCCCGCUGUUCUGACGGUACCCAAAGAAUAAGCACCGGCUAACUUCGUG